UGGGGAAUAUUGCACAAUGGGCGCAAGCCUGAUGCAGCCAUGCCGCGUGUGUGAAGAAGGCCUUCGGGUUGUAAAGCACUUUCAGCGAGGAGGAAGGUGGUGAACUUAAUACGUUCAUCAAUUGACGUUACUCGCAGAAGAAGCACCGGCUAACUCCGUGCCAGCAGCCGCGGUAAUACGGAGGGUGCAAGCGUUAAUCGGAAUUACUGGGCGUAAAGCGCACGCAGGCGGUUUGUUAAGUCAGAUGUGAAAUCCCCGGGCUCAACCUGGGAACUGCAUUUGAAACUGGCAAGCUAGAGUCUCGUAGAGGGGGGUAGAAUUCCAGGUGUAGCGGUGAAAUGCGUAGAGAUCUGGAGGAAUACCGGUGGCGAAGGCGGCCCCCCUGGACGAAGACUGACGCUCAGGUGCGAAAGCGUGGGGCAGCAAACAGGAUUAGAUACCCUGGUAGUCCA
rnacentral:rRNA from 1 species